UCAUUCAGAGUGAGAAGAUCAAGAAUGACUACACGUGUCUCUGGUUGGCAAGAUGCUACAUCGUGAAUCGUAAGGCCAGACUAGCCUGGGAGUUGUACCUUAAGUUGGAGACGUCUGGCGAAUCGUUCAGCCUGAUGUAGCUCAUUGCUAACGACGGCUACAAGAUGGCCAGUUCUACAACGCGGCCAAGGCUAAUUUCGAUGUCCUGGAAAGAUUGGACCCCAAUCCUGAAUACUGGGAAGGCAAGCGAGGGGCGUGCGUGGGCGUAUUCCAGCAGAUCAUAGCUGGUCAUGAACCAAGAGAAACACUGCGAGACAUCCUCCAAAUCUUGCGCAACACCGGUAACCCGCAGGUGGAA